rnacentral:ncRNA from 1 species
AAAAAGUUUUAUUUUUGUUUAAGAAUUAGGUUUAAAAUUUUUGUUUACAUACAAAUUUUAGUUUGAAGGUUUCAAUAAUUUAAAUAUUGUAGUAAUUAAUUUUGAUUAUUAAUUAAAAUUAGAAUUAGGAAUUUUUUUUUAGUAUUAACAUAAUUUGUGCCAGCAGUUGCGGUUAUACAAAUAAUACAUCUUAAUUUAUUUAAGUAUCAAUUAAUAGUUUAUAAAAUUAAUAUUUUAUAUUAUUAGGUGAAAUUUUUAAUAUAAAAAUAAAUUUGUUAGUUUAAAUUGAGAAUUUUUUUAAAAGACUAGGAUUAGAUACCCUAUUAUAAAAGUGUAAAUUAAUUACUUGAUGAUUAAUAGUUAUGUUCUUUAAAAUUAAAAAAUUUGGCGGUACUUUAGUCUAUUUAGAGGAACCUGUUCUAUAAUUGAUAUUCCACGUUUUAAUUUACUUAUUUUAUAAAGUUUGUAUAUCGUCGUAGGUUGAAUAUUUUUAGAGAAAAUUAAUAUUCAAUUUAUAUUUUUUAUAAUAAAUCAGAUCAAGGUAUAGCUUAUAAAUAAGAAGAAAUGGGUUACAUUAAAUGUAUUUAUGGUUUAUAAAUUGAAAAUUUAUAAUAAUUUGGAUUUAAUAGUAAUUUAAUUUAGAAAUUUUAAAUGAUUUUAGCUCUGGAGUAUGUACAUAUCGCCCGUCGCUUUCAUUUUAAGGUGAAAUAAGUCGUAACAAAGUAGGACUACUGGAAAGUGGGCCUAGAAAGAC